rnacentral:tRNA from 2 species
GGACGGGUGGCAGAGCGGUUUAAUGUACCUGACUCGAAAUCAGGAGUAGGGGAAACCCUACCGUGGGUUCAAAUCCCACCCCGUCCG